AUUGCAGGGUCUGAAAGUCCAGGAGAAGGAGCCUGAAGAAGAAGAAGAAUAUGGCCCUUCCCACCCAGAGACGGAGCAGGGCUAUGAGAUACUGCUGGGUCAUGGUCUCAAGACUUUUCCAAGCAGGCAUGGAAGGACAUACAGAACAGCCGCGUGACAAUCAGGACCCAGGGAAUGACGAGGGCACAGACAUCCACAGUGAUGAGGGCACACCCGUGCCAGUGAGGAGGUGUCUCAAGACCAGCUUUCUUGGAAAAAGAGCCCUCAGUUCCUAGCUGCUGCCCAGAUCUGUGGUGUAAACAUUCUCAGCGGGCUGUUGCUUCUUGUUUCUGGCAGGACAGCUGAUUCUGAGGCCUGUCCUCCAGGAGCUGAACUACACUUAACACCUCGGAUGGGCUCCAUGGCUUGGCUGGGAGCUCUCCACAGCCCUUUGAGAAGCCACGACUGUAGUUGAAUGCACAUCAGGCCUCUUCUUGAAGACCGACCACUUCUUCCAGGAAGCCUGUCUUCUCUUCCAUUAUCCUUCUGAACAUCUGUCCAGGGGACACUUCUGACUGCCUGUCUGUCUUACUAUGCCAUAAGCCUCAUGGGAGCAAAGGUAGCAGCUUGUUUAGUCUGCCCUUAUAUCCCUAGGGUUUGACUCAAUGCCUCACGUCUCAUAGAUGCUCAAUUAAAUGUAACUGAACAAAUGCA